rnacentral:rRNA from 1 species
UACGGGGGGGGCAAGCGUUGUUCGGAAUUACUGGGCGUAAAGGGCGCGUAGGUGGCCUUCUAAGUUGAACGUGAAAUCCCUGGGCUCAACCCAGGAACUGCGUCCAAGACUGGGAGGCUUGAAUCCGGGAGAGGGAUGCGGAAUUCCAGGUGUAGCGGUGAAAUGCGUAGAUAUCUGGAGGAACACCGGUGGCGAAGGCGGCAUCCUGGACCGGGAUUGACACUGAGGCGCGAAAGCCAGGGGAGCAAACGGG